CGUAGGACCCAAGCGUUAUCCGGAGUGACUGGGCGUAAAGAGUUGCGUAGGUGGUCAGUAAAGCGAAUAGUGAAAUCUGGGGGCUCAACCUCACAGGCUAUUAUUCGAACUCACUGACUCGAGAACAGCAGAGGUAACUGGAAUUUCUGAAGUAGGGGUAAUAUCCGUAGAUAUCAGAAGGAACACCAAUGGCGUAGGCAGGUUACUGGGCUGUUUCUGACACUGAGGCACGAAAGCGUGGGGAGCGAACCGGAUUAGAUACCCGGGUAGUCCACGCCGUAAACGAUGGAUACUAGCUGUUGGAGGUAUCGACCCCUUCAGUAGCGAAGCUAACGCGUUAAGUAUCCCGCCUGUGGAGUACGGUCGCAAGACUA
rnacentral:rRNA from 1 species